rnacentral:rRNA from 1 species
UACGUAGGGACCGAGCGUUGUCCGGAUUCAUUGGGCGUAAAGAGCUCGUAGGCGGCUGUUCAAGUCGAACGUGAAAACUCGGAGCUCAACUCCGAGCCUGCGUUCGAUACUGGAUGGCUAGAGUCUGGUAGGGGGAUCUGGAAUUCCUGGUGUAGCGGUGGAAUGCGCAGAUAUCAGGAGGAACACCGGUGGCGAAGGCGGCAUCCUGGACCGGUAUUGACGCUGAGGAGCGAAAGCCAGGGGAGCAAACGGG